UCGAAGUGAAGUAAGGCUGAUCUUGUCUAUGUGAAUGAACCAAGGAACAGUGUUUUGGUUUGGCCAAGUGGGUGAGACAAAAAGGUGCGUAUUAAACUUUCCCAAUUUUAGAUCACUUUGCCAUCUGAGGGUAGUAUAGAAAUUGGGUGAUGAGAAUGAGAUUGAGAGGAGAGAGAGUUGAAGGGAAUGGAAUGAUAGGGUAUGGGCAUUUUACUACUCCGUAACCAAAGCUUCGCCUCCUCCAAACAGUACCUUGUUGCAUUUGCUGCAACAAUCCAAAAAUUCAUCAUUCUCUUUUUGCCACUACAGGUAAUGCUGAUAGUAGAACCUUUGCCUUGUGCUAUGUGGUGUUCACAAUCUUGAUUCAAUUUCUGUGUUACGAGCAUUUGGACCAUAUUCCCCAAAAUGAAAAGACUUUCGAUGAGUAUACAAAGAUUAUCAAAGAAGAGGUUUCCUGGAAGAAAAGAGUUGCAUACAUGAUAGAUGUGUAUUAUAUCUGUAUAUCCUUAUGCAAAGUUGCUUGCACUUCUCCUUGGCAACAAUAUUCCUUAUAAGAUUUGGAAAAUUGGGAUUCUAUGCGAUCAGUGAGAGUAGCUUUGCUGAAGCUCUUUGGCUUGCCUGGACUUUUGUAGCUGACAAGGUUGGCAUUACGUUAAAGAUUGCUUUUGUCUCCAUAAGUUCAGGAGGGCAUGCUGAAAUUUGCAACAAUGCUUGGGCAUGUUUCUUAAACUAAUCUUAGAGAAGAUGAAUACACUGCGGAGGAAAGGAGUCAUUGAAAGGAACCACAUACUAGUGAUAAAUUGUUAACUUCUUGAGUGUAUUUGAGCUUGAUGCACCUCCAUAAUAUAAUUUUCCUUAUCAAAAUUUGAAUGAUAGUUAGAUUUUCUUUAACCUCUUGAUAUUGUUAAGAUCGUAGUCUUGGAGUGAUUAGUUUAUCGUGAUUUAGCUUUGGAAA